CAGUCGCCGCGGGAAUACGAAGGGGGCUAGCGUUGCUCGGAAUGACUGGGCGUAAAGGGCGCGUAGGCGGAUUGUUUAGUUAGGCGUGAAAUUCCUGGGCUUAACCUGGGGACUGCGCUUAAUACAGGCAGUCUAGAGUGAGGAAGAGGGUUGUGGAAUUCCCAGUGUAGAGGUGAAAUUCGUAGAUAUUGGGAAGAACACCAGUGGCGAAGGCGGCUCACUGGACCGACACUGACGCUGAGGCGCGAAAACGUGGGGAGCAAACAGGAUUAGAUACCCGGGUAGUCCCUGUCUCUUAUAC
rnacentral:rRNA from 1 species